rnacentral:tRNA from 1 species
GUGGAUGUAACUGAGUUGGUACAGUACUUGCCUAGAAAAGCAUGAACCCUGGGUUCGAUUCCAGCACCACA